rnacentral:lncRNA from 1 species
AAAAGAGUUGCACAUUGGUAAUAAGAUGAAAAAUAUAUAUGAUAGCCAGAUGGUGGCAUGGCUUCACUUUGGUCAGGUUCACAAUUUUUUGUAUAAAAAAAUGUCAAACUAUUGUUUCAGUAUUUAAGUCUUGCCCAUACAUGAUGUCUGAUUGCUUAUUCACGAAUUCUUAAAAGAGGUGCACAUUGAGUAAUAAGAUGAAAAAUAUAUAUGAUAGCCAGAUGGUGGCAUGGCUUCACUUUGGUCAGGUUCACAUGCCAUUUUUGUACGGAAACAAAUAGAGAACAGAAGCUGAAGGUAAAAGAAAAAAAAGUACAAGAAGGAUGAGUUUUGAGAUGAAUAUGGACAGCGUAUUAACUAGAAUCAGGCUACGUUCAGGCUAAAAUUUGCGGUUUCACAAUUCUACUAUAGUAUCUUCUAAUUAAUAAGCCAUAACUUUGCUGGUAUGUCCGCGAGCUACCUCUUUAUCGCUUAGGGCUUCUAGUCUUAUUCAUGACAUCGAUUAAAUAUUGUGUCUUUAAUAUUCAGUUUAGAGUGCUUGUGACUUGGGUUCCAAGGAUGGAAUGUUAACACUAAAACCAG